GACGAACGUUGGCGGCGUGCUUAAUACAUGCAAGUCGACUGAAGCGGUGGUAACAAUAUCGCUGUGGCGGUGGCGCACGGGGGAUUAACACCAAGUUAAUCUGCCUUCAGGUCUGGCAUAACUCCUUCGAACCAGGGCUGCUAGCAGCUGAUACUACGGUUCACCGUCGAGUCAGUUGGUAAAGCACUGUCGUCUUAAGAUUAGCACGCGUCUCAUUAGCUAGUUGGCAAGGUAACGGCUUAACAAGGCACCGAUGCGUAGCCGAUCUGCGAGGGUGAUCGGACACACUGGAACUGAGACACGGUCCAGACGCCUACGGGAGGCAGCAGUAGGGAAUCUUCCGCAAUGGGCGAAAGCCUGACGGAGCAACGCCGCGUGAGUGAUGAAGGUCUUCGGAUCGUAAAACUCUGUUAUUAGGGAAGAACAAAUGUGUAAGUAACUAUGCACGUCUUGACGGUACCUAAUCAGAAAGCCACGGCUAACUACGUG
rnacentral:rRNA from 1 species